UGGGUAACCUGCCUCAAAGAGGGGAAUAGCCUCCCGAAAGGGAGAUUAAUACCGCAUAAUAUGUUUAAGUCGCAUGACUUUAACAUCAAAGGAUUUUCUUUUAGAAAUUCCACUUUGAGAUGGACCCCGCGGCGCAUUAGCUAGUUGGUGAGGUAACGGCUCACCAAGGCAACGAUCCGUAGCUGGUCUGAGAGGAUGAUCAGCCACACGUGGGACUGAGACCACGGCCCAGAUCCCGUAACGGGG
rnacentral:rRNA from 1 species